AGCUUUGCGCAGUGGCAGUAUCGUAGCCAAUGAGGUUUAUCCGAGGCGCGAUUAUUGCUAAUUGAAAAUCUCCUAGGAAACUUAAAACAAUGUCUCACUGCCUUGACCACUGGAAUAGAGUUUUUGAUUUGGUAGGCCUG